rnacentral:rRNA from 1 species
GAUGAACGCUGGCGGCGUGCCUAAUACAUGCAAGUCGAGCGAACAGACGAGGAGCUUGCUCCUCUGACGUUAGCGGCGGACGGGUGAGUAACACGUGGAUAACCUACCUAUAAGACUGGGAUAACUUCGGGAAACCGGAGCUAAUACCGGAUAAUAUAUUGAACCGCAUGGUUCAAUAGUGAAAGACGGUUUUGCUGUCACUUAUAGAUGGAUCCGCGCCGCAUUAGCUAGUUGGUAAGGUAACGGCUUACCAAGGCAACGAUGCGUAGCCGACCUGAGAGGGUGAUCGGCCAAACUGGAACUUGGACACGGUCCAGACUCCUAAGGGAGGCAGCAGGAAGGAAUCUUCCGCAAUGGGGGAAAAGCUGAAGGGACAAAGGCGCGUGGAUGAUGAAGGUCUUCCGAUCGUAAAACUCUGUUAAUAGGGGAGGACCAAAGUGUAAGGAAAUAUGGACGACUUGACGGUACCUAAACCAAAAAGCACGGCUAACUACGUG